CCUACGGGUGGCAGCAGUGGGGAAUAUUGCACAAUGGGGGAAACCCUGAUGCAGCAACGCCGCGUGAAGGAAGACGGUUUUCGGAUUGUAAAGCUCUGUCCUCAGUGAAGAAUAAGGACGGUAGCUAAGGAGCAAGCCACGGCUAACUACGUGCAAGCAGCAGCGGCAAACCGUAGGUGGCAAGCGUUGUCCGGAAUUACUGGGGGUAAAGGGAGCGCAGGCGGGAAGCCAAGUCAGCGGUGAAAGCUACGGGCUUAACUUGUGGACUGCAGUUGAAACGGGUUUGCUUGAGGCAAGUAGGGGUUGGCAGAAUUCCGAGUGUAGCGGUGAAAUGCGUAGAUAUUCGGAGGAACACCGGUGGCGAAGGCGGCCAACUGGACUUUGACUGACGCUGAGGCUCGAAGGCGUGGGGAGCAAACAGGAUUAGAUACCCCUGUAGUC
rnacentral:rRNA from 1 species